rnacentral:lncRNA from 10 species
UUCCAGACCCUUCUUAAAUAUUAUCGUGUAUACCAGCUUUAUUAUUUAGCUCUGCAAUACUGCUAAAUUGGUCAAUUACUUCCCUGCCUCCCCACCCUCCAACUGAAUUCUCACCACCCUUGAGGGAAAACAGUCUGGGUUCCCUGUGGAACAUCAUUUCUCAAAACUGUAUUUUGGGGCUUGCUUUCUCAUUUUUCCUUUCCAUUUCAGAUAUCCUUACUGCUGUCUUUGGGCUCUUUAAACACUGCCUUUUUUCCUUUUUCGAUCACACCCAAAAACUUUUCUCAAAAAUUACAUGUAAAUUUAAAAAUUUACAAAUUAAAUUUAAAAUUGAAAUUUUAAAAAUCCCGACUCUCCCUAAUUUCAGGAAGCAUGCAUUUAUUAUACAUAACAAGACGUGAAAGCCGCAAGAGUUUCAGCCUAAACACUGAAGACCCCGCGAAGUGAAUCCAGCUGCUGCUCUACAAGCAGCAACAACAACUGGGAAGCCUUCUCAGCUACACUUCGGGGCACUGGUCCAACCCCACGCAAAAUCCCUCGUUUCCCUUAGCGUGGUAAGACGGAGCCUGACCUGAGCUCCAACUGUCCUAUCUUUUUCAAAUGUUUCAAACUUACUGCCUUUGUUCAGCAGAACCACGGGCACGGUGAUGAUGGUGACAAGCGCAGCAGCACCCAGCAGUCCCAGAAGAACCUUCCACGGUGUCUGCAAGCCGAGCAGAUCAAGUCCAAUUAGAGGGAAGCGUGUGGCCCCAGUUUCCGUAGGAGGGUCGGGGCUGCUCCAGAGGCAGCAGGAUUUGCAGGUGGGAGUGCGUUAGAAGAGGGAGACCGCGGGCUGGGGGUGGGGGUGGCGUCUGGAGUGCGCCAGUUGGAGUUCUCUAAGGCGGGUGCCCUUGAACUUGUGCCUUCAGAGCACAUUAGCGUUGGUUUCUCUACCCCUGCCCGGGUUCGGGCGUGCGUUCUGUGAGUGGCUCUCCGGGACAUUCAAAGCUCGACGCCAGGGUCCUAGCAGAAGCCAGGGUCCGAAAGCUAAGCGAGAGCUCUGGGACGUCCCUUCACCUGUCAGAGGGUGGCCUUGGGGCUUCCGCCUAAGGGGAGUCCCUGGUCCGGUUUCGCCAGCUUUUGGGCCAUUUGGGGAGUUUGGCGAAGAGGUCCCCACAGCUCGCCCCGGGGACGUACGUGGCGCGGCACUCACCUUCAUCGUCGGCGUCUCCUCGGAAGUGAGCGUUCAGAGAAGGAGCGCAGGCAGAAGUCACCGCGGGCGGCGGAGACGCGCGUCCUGCACCGCUGCUCCGGGCGGUGGAGUCACUCGCCGCUGGAAGGAAGACUGUACACAGAGAAUAAAUAACUUGGCCAAGCCAUUCAGCUAGGAAGUUGUAGAUCCUAAAUUAAGAGUUCAAGGUCUUAAUGGCUACUCUAUGCGGCCUCUCAUAGUCUUUUCAAGGGUUUUGGAGAAGAAUAAAAGAUCAGUCAUCCACAGAUGUUUGAGUGGUUACAAUGUGCCAGCCUCCCUUCUAGGUACUGGAGAUAAAGUGGGACAAGAGAGGUGAGGUCUGGACCCUUGGCACUUUCACGAUAAAAUACACAGUUGCUUGUGAUACAUCAGUAUCCUCACUCACCCCCAACUCCAGAGGCUGAAACUAACUCUCCUCCUCCCUCUUCCAACUGCUGAGGAAGAUGAGUCAAUGGUGUUACUGGACCCUGUGAACUGAUGCUGUGAAGAGAGGCCAUUUAACACGGACUACGGGGAAUGGUGCCACAGGGGGCUCAGUGCUGCCCUUCACUCUCAGCAUUUUGCUCACUCAGCAUUGAUGACAGGAUGUCCCAAAAGUAACAAAAGAUGGGAGCCAGUCCUCUCAUAGCUGUUUCUUCAAUCAUCCCAUCAACAGCUCUUCAUUUAUUGAACUACCUUCCUUUUCCAAAGAGGUAAUGCUGAGAUCAGUCAGAAAGGCUUUCUGAGAAA